rnacentral:rRNA from 1 species
UAGCCAUGCUAGUCGCACGAGUUCAGACUCGUGGCGAAUAGCUCAGUAACACGUGGCCAAACUACCCUUCGGAACACGAUACCCUCGGGAAACUGAGGCUAAUAGUGUAUACCACAUCACCACUGGAAUGAGUGAUGUGCCAAACGCUCCGGCGCCGAAGGAUGUGGCUGCGGCCGAUUAGGUAGACGGUGGGGUAACGGCCCACCGUGCCAAUAAUCGGUACGGGUCAUGAGAGUGAGAACCCGGAGACGGAAUCUGAGACAAGAUUCCGGGCCCUACGGGGCGCAGCAGGCGCGAAACCUUUACACUGCACGACAGUGCGAUAGGGGGAUCCCAAGUGCACAGGCAUAGCGCCUGUGCUUUUCGGUACCGUAAGGUGGUACCAGAAUAAGGGCUGGGCAAGACCGGUGCCAGCCGCCGCGGUAAUACCGGCAGCCCAAGUGAUGGCCGAUCUUAUUGGGCCUAAAGCGUCCGUAGCUGGCCGCGCAAGUCCAUCGGGAAAUCCACCUGCUCAACAGGUGGGCGCCCGGUAGAAACUGCGUGGCUUGGGACCGGAAGGCGCGACGGGUACGUCCGGGGUAGGAGUGAAAUCCCGUAAUCCUGGACGGACCGCCG